UUGAUUGGUGCUUGCAUCAUGAUUUACAUUUGAGUGAGUGGCGAACUGGUGAGUAACACGUGGGAAACCUGCCCAGAAGCGGGGGAUAACACCUGGAAACAGAUGCUAAUACCGCAUAACAACUUGGACCGCAUGGUCCGAGUUUGAAAGAUGGCUUCGGCUAUCACUUUUGGAUGGUCCCGCGGCGUAUUAGCUAGAUGGUGGGGUAACGGCUCACCAUGGCAAUGAUACGUAGCCGACCUGAGAGGGUAAUCGGCCACAUUGGGACUGAGACACGGCCCAAACUCCUACGGGAGGCAGCAUUAGGGAAUCUUCCACAAUGGACGAAAGUCUGAUGGAGCAACGCCGCGUGAGUGAAGAAGGGUUUCGGCUCGUAAAACUCUGUUGUUAAAGAAGACAUAUCUGAAAGUAACUGUUCAGGUAUUGACGGUAUUUAACCAGAAAGCCACGGCUAACUACGUGCCAGCAGCCGCGGUAAUACGUAGGUGGCAAGCGUUGUCCGGAUUUAUUGGGCGUAAAGCGAGCGCAG
rnacentral:rRNA from 2 species